AUCGUUCAUCUUUCAUAUCAGAAAGACGGAAGUAGGGGAAAUUCCCGAAGGAACGCGCC
rnacentral:ncRNA from 2 species